AACGCAAGUUGCGCCCGAAGCCAUUAGGUUGAGGGCACGCCUGCCUGGGUGUCACAUAACGUCACCCCCCUACGUAAAUCGUUUAUCGGGGUGAAGGUUGGCUUCCUGCGAGAGCAAGUCCUCGUGGUUGGUCGAAAACUCAAGUAACGGUAGAGGCCCCUGCAAUAAAUGGUGGAUGAGAAGCUCUCGAUACCAAUUGUGGUUGUGGUAGUUUGCCAGAUGUAAUGAUUUGACCCUGUUGUUGUUGAUCCAAAGGACGUACUUACCGAGACCUCAGGUCAGGCGGGGUUACCCGCUGAGUUUAA
rnacentral:misc_RNA from 1 species